rnacentral:rRNA from 1 species
GACGAACGCUGGCGGCGUGCUUAACACAUGCAAGUCGAACGAUGACGACCGAGCUUGCUCGGUCUGAUUAGUGGCGAACGGGUGAGUAACACGUGAGCAACCUGCCCUUCACUCUGGGAUAACCUCGGGAAAUCGGGGCUAAUACCGGAUAUGAGCUCCUGUCGCAUGGCGGGUGUUGGAAAGUUUUUCGGUGAAGGAUGGGCUCGCGGCCUAUCAGUUUGUUGGUGAGGUAGUGGCACACCAAGGCGAUGACGGGUAGCCGGCCUGAGAGGGCGACCGGCCACACUGGGACUGAGACACGGCCCAGACUCCUACGGGAGGCAGCAGUGGGGAAUAUUGCACAAUGGGCGAAAGCCUGAUGCAGCGACGCCGCGUGAGGGAUGACGGCCUUCGGGUUGUAAACCUCUUUCAGCAGGGAAGAAGCGAAAGUGACGGUACCUGCAGAAGAAGCGCCGGCUAACUACGUG